GGACUACCGGGGUAUCUAAUCCUGUUCGCUCCCCGCGCUUUCGUGCCUGAGCGUCAGGUGGCGUCCAGGGCGCUGCCUUCGCCGUCGGUGUUCUUCCGGAUCUCUACGCAUUUCACCGCUCCACCCGGAAUUCCGCGCCCCUCUCCGCCCCUCAAGCCUACCCGUCUGGAAAGCCCCCUCCCCGUUAAGCGGAGAGAUUUCACCCCCCACGCGGUAGGCCGCCUGCGCACCCUUUACGCCCAGUAACUCCGGACAACGCUCGCCUCCUACGUAUUACCGCGGCUGCUGGCAC
rnacentral:rRNA from 1 species